rnacentral:rRNA from 1 species
UACGUAGGGUGCGAGCGUUAAUCGGAAUUACUGGGCGUAAAGCGUGCGCAGGCGGUUUUGUAAGCCAGAUGUGAAAUCCCCGGGCUCAACCUGGGAAUGGCAUUUGGGACUGCAAGGCUGGAGUUUGGCAGAGGAGACUGGAAUUCCUGGUGUAGCAGUGAAAUGCGUAGAUAUCAGGAGGAACACCGAUGGCGAAGGCAGGUCUCUGGGCUGACACUGACGCUCAUGCACGAAAGCGUGGGGAGCAAACAGG